rnacentral:misc_RNA from 1 species
AAAGUCGUAACAAGGUUUCCGUAGGUGAACCUGCGGAAGGAUCAUUACCAAGUUUAAUCCAAAACACUCAACCCAUGUGAACCAUGAAUUGUCUGUCUUUGGGGUGGAGAGUAUCUAGACGCAAGUCUGGUGAAUUCUACCCCACAUGUGUAAACACCCUUUUAUUUUUAUAUGGAAUCUAAUUGUCUUAAUUUAAUACUAGACAACUUUUAACGGCGGAUCUCUUGGCUCGU